AUUGAACGCUGGCGGCAGGCCUAACACAUGCAAGUCGAACGAGUGGCGGACGGGUGAGUAAUGUCUGGGAACCUGCCUGAUGGAGGGGGAUAACUACUGGAAACGGUAGCUAAUACCGCAUACCAUCGGAUGUGCCCAGGUGGGAUUAGCUAGGAGGUGGGGUAAAGGCUCACCUAGGCGGCGAUCCCUAGCUGGUCUGAGAGGAGGACCAGCCACAGUGGAACUGAGACACGGGCCAGACUCCUACGGGAGGCAGCAGUGGGGAAUAUUGCACAAUGGGGGCAAGCCUGAUGCAGCCAUGCCGCGUGUGUGAAGAAGGCCUUCGGGUUGUAAAGCACUUUCAGCGGGGAGGCGUUACCCGCAGAAGAAUCACCGGCUAACUCCGUGCCAGCAGCCGCGGUAAUAC
rnacentral:rRNA from 1 species